UAUUUUAAGUAAUCAAAACAACAGGUGUGUCCUCCUCAACGCACCGCUCUGCCUAACCGUCUAUUUCUUGUCAUGUGAAUGCACCACAGCUCUCCCACUGCCAAGGUGACCACCAUCCAGCCCAGUAAGUGCCAGCAGCAUUGCAACUCAUUUAGUCAGUGGCCCAGGGACGUAUCACACAGCCCCGGUCCUGAUUACACAUGAUCAAAGAUGGAUUAUUCAACAGUUUGAUUACAUAUUUGAGCUUGAAUAAAGUCCACAUGCCUGUGAAACGACUAAUUGAUUGGAAUUAUGACUUUUAUGAUGAUUUAAUACAACAAUUGAAAUGUUCUUCGGGGUUGACCUCCGUCAUUGGAGUUGCACUACAGUAUGUGCUGCAUUUGAUUACAGGGAAAGUUGAUUAUCAGAAAAUAUGGUGCAUAUGAAGUGAUUUUCUGCCCUAAGUAAUAUUAUUCUGUAUAGUUAGAGCUGAAAAAAAUAUGACAUGGGGACUUCAGUCAAGACAAAAUGCACGAGCUAAUGAGACUGGUUAGAGAUUCAAAUUUAUGGAAAUUGUAUUAAUUACAGAAACUUCUUUCAUCCGUACCAUUUAGUGGUGAAGUAAUUAAAAACCAACAAUGACAGUCCCAGCAGUGGAGGAAGCAAACAAGAUCAAAUAAAGUGGAGCCUUCACCAGAAAGUAGAAUGAGAGCUGAACUGGGCAUGGCCACGGGCAACAGGGUCUCAUUAAAGUCAGCCUGUGUUGAUCAGCAAUUAACCUGCUUUGUGUUGCCUCUGAUUGAAACUUGCACAACGCCGUUUUAAGGUUUAUGCAUAAUGUUUGUCUGGAGAUGACCAAGAGGAAGCGCUGCCUUCGGUCAUUUACAAACAUUCUUUGAUUGGUUGAUUGGAAAAGGACGAUUGAUUGUUGAGUCAACUGGCCUCAAUACAUAGUGAAUAAUGUCUUUAUACAUGAAGACAUCUUGAUACUAUUAACAUGACCACGAUCAGAUGUGGAGGAUGAUCUUCUAAAUGAUGUAAAACAAUGUGUAGGUAAGACAGAGAUUUCAGUUUUAGCUUUUGUUUUCGUUAUUAUUAAGUGAUAAUAAGAGCAAAGGAUGUUUGAACCAAAAUGAGAUGUUACAAACAUUUAUCACUUGUCCAAGGUCUGAGGAAAGGAUGCAAAUACAUACGCAUACCUAAUUAAAUUAAAUCUGUGCUAAUUUGAUUUUGAGGUGAGGAAGAAGUAAUCUUACCUUUAGUGAUGGAAAUUAUUAUUAUAUUAAAUUAUUUCCAAAUGAUGUUCUUGAAUGCUUAACUUUACUGUGCGUCAUGUAAUGUAAGUGGCUAGUGCUUUUUCAGGAACUGCACUAAAUAAGAACACUUCCUUUUACACUGUUUUCAUUUGAAAAGUUUUUUUAUUUUUAUUUAAGGAAUGCCGUAUCCUGAUUUUACCAGAAGUCUUUACCUGACUCAAACUCUGAGGUGAAGACAAUCACUCAAAGCGGUCGAGUGGAGUUUCCAGGCGCUGACAAAGAACCAUCAGAGACCCGACGCCGCGGACAACAAACGCAUGGCCAGUCUUAAAUUCUAUUAUGAGCGGUGAAAGUCAUAUUUAAAAUGAGAGAUUAGCCACUCAUCAUAAUAUUGGCGGAUUACUACCUGCGAUGAAAGCAACCCCCUGGUUCUGGGUCGAUAAGAGUUUGACUGCAUUUCGAAUUAAUUUUCCUCCGCUUAAAGAGCUGGAAUCCUAUCUUGUUAUUGAUCACUGCGUUAAUCCAUAACCAAGCACUCCUUUCCCCCACGGAAAGAGCGGUAUAAUAUAAAACGAUUUCUCUUGACAGCGUGUAUAAAAACAGACUUAGAAGUGAUUAGGGUGCAUUAUUAAAGAACGUGUUACCAGAAUAUUUUUUCGUAAUUUUUUACGUUUUUUCGUAUCAGUUCAUUUCGUAUCUGCAGUUGUCAUUUUUUUAAACAAUUUUGUUUAAAACAAAACAACAGUGGUUCUGUUCUGUAUUCCCUUUGGUCUGGAUCGUGAUUGAUUGAUUUCCCCGACAGGAGGAGCACUUCACACCUCGGCUGCUUUUCUCUGUUUGUCUUUUCCAACAGAGGGACCUCCGCAGUGGAUGAAAUUUAGCCCCAACCUCCGACCUUUGGGUCCAGUGUUUGUCUCCAGUCCAGUGACCACAAACAACUCUUGAAUUGCUGUAAAUGUCAGUGCAGCAAUGUCUGCACCAUUCUGUCCUGUGAACCCCGCUGCACUCAACCGGCACCGACAGGACACUUUCCUUUAUGCUGAAUUGAUAUAUCAGCUUUCCUCCCUUUGUCGCCUCUGUCAACUGAGCGACUGUCAUCAAGCAAAGAGCAACGAGGGAAUGUUUUUACAAAGCUUUAUUUUAUUCGGCUCUUCAACCUUUUAAAUUUGUAAUUUGCAGCACUUCAUAUGAAAAUAUUAUUUAAAUUAAUCUCAUUUUGGGAAUUCAAGAUUUUUGUUUUCCUGCCUAAAGAGUGCAGGAUGAGUUACUGGAAGUGAACCGUUUAGCAUACGAAACAGCUCGCACCCUCCGUCAAAAAGCUCAAAUAUAACAGAUUGUGAUGUUCUGAAGACAUUGGUUGUAAUGUGUCCGGCUUUGAAGUACUUUGUUUGACCCUUCCCCCCACCCAUAAACAUAUCCACUCCUCUGCAGGCCUCCCGAGGUUGGUGUCUCUGCGUUAGGACUCUAUUGUUGCCUACUGCUGGAUAAGGCCCUUAUUAAUUGUACCUCUUUGUAAGGUGUCAGCUGUAGCCCCCGAUUGAGAUGGAUGGAUCUCUGGAGUCUGCUCCCUGACCCUCCACAGACCCUCUAUCUCUGCACAGCACACAGUUACAACAUUCUGCUCUGGAACAACACGGUAUCCACACAAGCAGAAGGAGACUGAAGUAGAGGGGAAAAAGCGCCGACCAGAAAAUGGAGAUCCUCUCCCUUCAGAUCCCAUUUAGAGAGGCCCUGCUCAUUUUUAAAGUGUCAAUUGUUUUUGUCUCUUGAAGUGUGGAUGGAAUGUUUGAAUUCCAGUAUUAACUGUAGUGCCUGCUGAGUUAAAUUAUGGUCCCUGGGCUGUGGGGUGGAAGUAAUCAAUAAGAAUACACAAGGCAGUGUGUAAUGUGUCUGCUCCUAGCAGCAGGGACACUGUCCCCCUUACCCUGUCCCCCAGCAGGUUAGAUAAAUAUGAUACUGAAACCAGGCACACUGGAUUAUAUGAUAUCAAUGUAGAAUCAGGGAAGUGCUAUUACGCUCCCCGAGCCCACUGUGAGUACUAUUGACAAGGUUGGCUUUGAACAUGGGAGCGUAUUGCUCUCUCUUCUCGCCCUCGCUCUCUUCUCUCUCUUUCUCUCUCUCUCUCUUCAUGUGUGGAACUGCAGGAAUAAAGGGAUCUAUAUUUCACUUAGCUUUGAUUAAAAUGGCUAUUUUAUGCCCAUGGCUUGAAGACGUCUUUAUCGCACCCACAAGUUAAUCUGUGAAGGGUGUGAUGUGAUCUAAAUUUCCAGAUGUUUUUUUACAUGAAGAGCCAAUAAUGUAGAAUCAAUGUACAAUUGAUUUGAUUUUUUAACGCCCUGCGACAUAAGUGCUCUUGACAUUUUCCUAUUGAUAACUGUAUAUUUUCUCUUUCUCGCGUUGAUGUUGCCAAAUGUCCGACCAAUUAACUAGCGUGCCAAUGUUGUUGCCCGGCUGCCUGCCAGUUGCUCGUACAGUAACCUCAUAUCACUGAUCUACUCACGCUAUUGAUUAACUCUCCCUCCUCCGCGGUGAAAGGAUCAAACCUGGCAUGUCUAAAAGGCCAUUAUCAGCGUCCACUUCACAUAUCUGCCACAACCUGAUACAGACCCUUUCACAGGUCGCAACCUAUCUGCCCUCUGCAGCCAUCGUACCUCCUCUGACCCCCCCAACCAUCAUUAUCAUGCUCGUGUUAAAUGACAUACAGGUCAAGAAAAUGGCACCGUGUUGAUGUCUCACAUGUGAAUAAUCCAUGCAUCGCUGCAAAAUGUCAAGCUUCUGCUUUAACAAAUAGAUUCUACCAUAGUGGCCAAUGACAAUGUAUUAAAAAAAACUGUCCGAGAUGGAGCACAUUCUCUUGAUUAAAUUGGAGGUGCAGGUGUAAUUUUCAUAGCCUGUGGCAUUUUGUUUAAAUGUGUCAGGUCCUAAAUAUCACUACAGUUUAUGAAGCAUUAUUUCUAGAAACACUUUCACAGUGAGACAAAAUCACUUAAAGGUUUAAAGCAGAAUUUCAUUUGUACACUUAAUUUAGACAUUCAGUCGUCCCUUUAUUUCAAUUAAAACCCUAACAAGUGUUCUGGGGUCUUGAUUUGUUGCACUGUUACAAUUUCCAAAGUGCUUUUUUAAAUUUUUUAUUCUGAGCCAAAUCUAGAUAUUAAAGUUUUUUUUUUUUAGGCCAGGUAUUAGUCACAUCGCGGUUGCUUUCACACAAAAGAAUUGCCAGAAGCUAAUUUGCAGAGUCAAGCUCCUGAUGGAAGUUGUGCAGCAUCCCCGUCUCUUAGCAACACUCUUCCCCCUUGGUGUCUGUGUUGAAUUGACUGGUCUUUGGCACUCAUCUUUCACCAAGAAAAUUCAUAAUGAAAUACCACCUGACAACCUGCCUCCAUCACCGAGAGGCACUCCUCGCUUUCCUCCUGGGUGACAGUAUUUUUACACUGGCAUCAGUAAACGUUCAGCAGAGAAGAACGCUGCUUUUCACUCAUAUUUGCAGGCGACUUUUGGUUUAAGGAGGUGGAUAAACAUGUUUAUUAAGAAUUGUAUCAAGAUUAGAGGCAAAUUAGCAGGUAAUUGGAGACACCUGCCAAACAAAGGGGAGGAUGGUGGAGGUGGUGGUGUGGAGCACGAUGAAGGAAGGUAUUGGUCUUCCGGGCUGGCCUCCGCCCAUUUAUUGGUGGGUGUGGGAUGAGGGCAUUUAGAAAGAGGGGAUUUGGUAUGACGUUUUGAGAAAAUGACUUUUGUCCUCUUUCGUGUUGACAGCAUCCAGAUGCUGCCAAGAAAUGUUAAUAGAGUGUCACCUUUCGGACAAUAUCACUGCCUUUCACAACUGCCCCCGUACUCCAAGCGCGACGCUUUCUUGGUCAAAAGAAGGAAUGCGCUGCAAUUACUGUUUUUUUUGCAAUGGCAUUCAGCCACAGACUAUACUGCAAUUAUCGCUCUGCUGAUGAUUUCCAUCAUCUUAGUCACAUGUGGUCACAUGUGGUCUUUGCCCAGCACAUUUGAACUUUCCGUGAGAGGUGAAAUCCGUACACAUGUAUCGCCCACUCCUUUACAUCUUCCUCGUCCUUUUAUAGUCACACAUGUCGUCGUCUUCUUCCUCUCCGCUUCGAAGUCACGACAGGUGCCGCGCGGACAUUAAACCCGCCGCUUUGUGUUUUACAGCGCGCCGCGUUUCACUGCCUGUGCACAUUUCAGCUUUCCACAUCCACGCACCGUUUAACCGGCUCCCGGCACUGCUACUCUAUAAUAAUCUAAAUUAUUUCAAAACAUUUCUAAUUUAUUUCAUAGUAUUAUUAUUAUUAUCAAAUUAUAUUUACACAUUUAAAUAUGAAAAUAUAAUGGGUUUUUUAGGUCGGGCAGAGACGUGUUCGAUUCAGGUUUCAGAAAUAUAAAUGUGAUAUCUGUGCUGUUAUAAAAUAAUAAAUGCUAAAUACAUAAAUAAAUAAAUAAACGGCAUGAAGCUCAUUCACCCAGACUACUGUUGACACAAAUUGUGACAGGUCGGUAUUUUUACCGACUGAGAGCCAAAGGACGAAGAGGCAUCUAAAUACAUUUGUUUUUUCUUACAUGUAGCUCAACUUGUUUUAUUUACAUUUUAAAUAGUUCAUCGUCCAUUGGGAAAAAUCGACGGAAUUUGCUCUCACCCGCGUCUCAAUAUAUUAAUUGGUGUAUUUAAAAAAAGAAGAAGAAGGCAAAAUAAACUGUCUGUGCUGACGCGGAACUUCCCCUCUCGGUGCGCAUCGCGCGCGCUGCCGCUCCGUGUCCGACAUCCCGAGCGCGCAGGCGGGGGUUUUUCUCCCCUCUUUGCUAUUUCUCGCUGCCAGGGGUCGUCCGGUUCUGUCGCACGCUUUUAGUGACUUCAUCAUAACCAAAUGACUAAUUGUCACCCUUUAAUUGCGAUUUAAUUUGAUCCCUCAGGCCCCUGCAAAUCCGUGUAAAAUAACAGAAUAGAUUGCUGCCAAUAGCGCACCUUUGGUGAAUCCUAUUGAUUGAUGCACGAGAGAGAGAGAGAGAGAGGUAGAGGGAGCGCACCUGCCUCUAUCUGUCCAUCUCGGGAUUUAGAAUGAACACACCAAGUGGCUCUAAUUUUCUGAGACGUUCAGGGAUGUGUCUCAAUUGGGACUGAGAUCAGGGGCUGUGAUUGUCUAUUGCUUUAGAUUGGCUCGUUCAGUGCAAUUCUCGAAACUUUUAUUGCAAUCCACCGAUUGUAAUGAUGGAGAGCCCUCAAUGUGGCAGCACUGAUUACAUCAGCCUGUCUCUACCUUUCUUUCAUCUCGGCUAUGUAUUCCGUGCACCACCAAUAGCUAAAGCUUUCACGAGCUCGCCAUUACUGACCGAAAGAUAAACGAUCUGAUCUGAGUUUUUAUUCUGCUCGAUAAUCUGUUGACCUCAUUGCAUAAUUUGAAGAUCCCCAAAAAGAUGGAUUCAAACUAUGGCCAGAUGUUUACAUUAUGCUUUGAAAUGACUACGCUCGUUUCCUAUUGGCCGUUGAUCUUUGUAAUUACAGAUUUACUUUUCAAAAGAGCACGAGGCUCCUCUUCACCAGUUGCGAAAUUAUUUUCCCAUGCAAAGUUACCAGCGGUGUAAAAAGUAUUCAGAUCAUAGUUUAGUUGAAGUAGAAAUGCUGUUCACAUUUCAGAAAAGGCCCCUUGUAAUAAUUAUAGAAUUUAAUUAUUUUACUCACACAUUAUUAAAUAUUGUUUUUAUUUGUAAUGCUGCAUUCAAUCUAAUGAGAUAAUUUUAAUAAAAGAGAAAAGUCUGUGAAGUCUAUUACAACUGCAUAAUCGUAGAAUUCAAGUAAAUCCCUCUGAAAAGUAGAAGUAGAAAGUAUUGCCGUUUUCUAAGUUCUUAAAUUGACUUAGUUUCAGCUAUAAAACUAGGUUUCGUAAACUAUGCGGAAUCAAAUUAUUCUUCCUACAGUUCCCACCGGUGUUUGUAUGAAUGGAUUCAUACAGACACGCACACGACACAGAAGUCUUAUCUGCAAAUUUUACAUAACCUUGAACCAAAAACCAAAUGACUUAUUGUGAUAAAUGGACUUGUAUAUUAGUUUAUUCAUCAAAUUAUAACAUUGGAUCACAAUUACUGAUACGUUGAUUUAGCAUGUUUAGGUGGUAAAGCACAACCUCAUGUUGUUUAAAAUUUACAUUUGCAAGUCAUUUUAACACUUAUGUUUAGAGUAAAUGAAAUGAAAUACCAGUACGUCAAAAUUGUGCUUAAGUAGCUGAGUAAAUGUACUUAGUUGCUUCCCCCCACUGCAGCUGACAAUAAAUCACACUCAUGUGUCUGCAGGCUAUGAUCACUAUCAGCAUGUGAUUUCCAGCAUGUUCUUGUGAGAAGCAUCCCUGUGACAUAUGGAGAUGCUUCCUUCCACAGCCACACCUGACUGAUCCUCUCUCCUCUCUCUCUCUCUCUACACAGAUAAUAUCACACAGCUGACUGCGACAAGAUUCCCAAAUGGCUCUCCCUUACAGUGAGACAUGUCAUCUGACCAUGUCGCCCCUGCUAAAUCCAAAUAUUGUGCAUUGUUGGUAAAGAGAGGGGUCAGGCAACUUGUGCGUCGUGUUUUCCAGGCUCUGUUCUCUAAUUAAGUAUUCAUGAAACAGCAGUGGGAGCAAAGCGUAGGUUUACACCGGCGGUCGGGACGGCAUCACCCCCCACUUCCCAUGUGUAAUGCCCCCCCCCACACACUCCCCCCCGGCAGGCAGACAGGCCAUCAUUCCUAGUGUACUCACAGCAAUGAUAUCAGAAAGGUUUUUUGGUCAAGCCAAAGAGAGGUCACUCUAAUAAUACCCAGGGUCAGUGGUGGGAGCCGGCGAGUCUCCCAGUCAUUAUUCAUUUGUUCACAGAGUUAAUGACAGUUGCAGGGGGACGAGAACUUUGAGCCAGCAGCCAUGUGAUGUCACCAACACAUGCCAAGGGAUUAGGAGGGCAGGCAGGGGACAAGAAGUGUGGAUUAUACAGGGAAAUGAAACCACAGCAACAAUCUUUCCUGCUCCGUCAACCAACUCUGCAUGUUUGCUGCUGGAGUUAUGACAGACGCACACCACAGAUGUCACUAAAUUAUGACAAUUGGCUCAUAUUGUAGCAACAGCGUUGCCGAAUAAAGGAAUAAAAUAAACGGCGUCCAUCAUGUCCAAGUUGAUGAUCCUUUUGGGAGUUGUUUAACAUAUUUAACGUCAUCAGAGUAGUUCUUUUUUCUUAAAACCAAACACCGUCAUUAAUUUACAGUUCUUUGGUUAAACCGCUAUGUGAAUGUUUUCGUUGUGGAAGGUAAUUGCAAAUAUUUCAGGGUUUUUUUUAAGCAAAUGACAAAAUGUGAUAGUCGACCCAUCAUGUUUUAGAGCUAGUGUAACAACCCUGGCGGAUAAACUGGAGACUGUGGCUUUUACAGCGAGAGAAUGAACAAUGAACACACCUUAUUCAGUCAGUGGGCCGGCAGCGCAGAGUGAACAAUGAACCCCUCCCUCUGUCUAGCACCAUGUCUGAUAAUGACCACAUCCACCAGCCGCUGAUAGCGCUCUUCUUUUAUGACCUACAUGUGCAUAAAUACGGCUCAGAUAAAACAUCCCGGGGAGGACAUUGACGAUAUGACCAGCUGUGCACGAACUGCAACACAAACGGUGUUUUCUUUGAAGCAAAAACAGUUUUACAUUCUGCACCAAAAACAAUCCAUAUGUUGUUCUAUCUAAACGGCAUUUAGUUAACAUAUUUAUUGCAAAGCAACUGUAAAAGGGAGUUGCGCACUUUAUCUUUGAGUAACAUCUGCUGAAUAAUUAGAAGGAAACUAAUGUGCAUUUUGACGAAUAAUAAUGCAGAACCCCCCCCCCCCCCCCGAUAUGGCCUUUGUCUCAAGACAUAACAUGCAGAUACAGUAUAUUCCCUGUUUAAGCAAAGGGCCAGAGUAUAAAUAUGAACUGCAUUUUGCAUUACUUUCAGAUGAGUGAAGCUGUCAGACCAAUAAUUUGAGCUUUCAGUCGUACUUUCUGCCACUUAUCCCCUAUUCUAGGACCAAGGGGUCAUGUGAAAAUUGAAAGUGACAGUCAAACCGACAUGUUGAACAGGCCGAUUCGACUAAGCUGUCACGGCCCAGAUCAGAGCUCUUUAACACCGGGACCAUCAGACGUCUUUCUGUUGGAGCGAACCAACGCAGGCCAGCGUAUGAGAAAUAUAAAAUACUUUACAAGGAAAAGAGCACAUCACUAAUCCAUGAAAGGAAGAGGCUGAACACCCACACCAAAUCUACAUUAUGAACUAGAAAUGCAAUUGACUAGAAGUUUCAGGAAGUCGGAAAACUUUAAAUAAUCCUACAAACAGGAAAAACAAAAGCCUCAGAGUUCACCGAGGGUCUUUUCUCUCCGACAGAAGUCAGCUCUCGUUUUCCACUUUAAGUCCUGUGUUUUUCUUUCUUUGUGGUCGUUUGAAUGAAAAUGUUUGUAUCACCUGUUCUGCGGAUUAUUUAAUGAGCGCGUUAUGCUGUCACAUGAAAGAUUUUUUUACUUCAUCAAAAAAAUUCUCUGUCAAUUUAUAUUUAGUUUCAUGUGCAGCAUUGCAUGAAUCCUAGACGUAAGAAAUCAGCUCGCCGUCAUCCAUUCAGAGGGUAAUAAAUCACGUCAUUAUCACUUUUA